rnacentral:lncRNA from 1 species
CGCAUUCCUUUCCGUUCAAGUGAUCACUCUAGCUAGCACACUAGAGAGAGAGAGAGGGUAGCACAGCUUUGACAGGAUGCAGACGGCGAAGGUGAAGGCGAAGGACAUGGCGAGCGAGGCGAAGGAGAAGGCGAAGGAGGCGACAGCCAAGAUGCAGGGCAAGACGGGCGAGGCGACGGCGGCCACGCACGGCGAGAAGGAGAUGGCCAAGGAGGCGGCCCGCGCCAAGAAGGACCAGGCCAGCGCCGACAAGCACCAGGAGAAGGCCGAGCACCGCGUGGACGCCGCCGCCACGACUGGCCGCCACGGCGCCGGCGCCGGCGCGGCCGUCGACCGCGCGUACCCGUCCGCCGGCACCACGUACCCGGCGUCGGGCAAGUACAUCUAGGUGACUGCGUCAGAUGAGGCCGGCCGGGAUCGUCGUGUGGUCGCACUUGCGUUUUUGUGUAGCGACCGAGAGAUCGAUCGGCUGGCUGUACCGGUAGCGACUGGUAGAAGCUGGUGUAUGUGUGCACGUGCACGCAAGUCGUCGUAGAAUAAAAAUGGCCUAGCUGUUGUCAAGUUGAACCUUGGUUAGUUGUUUAAUUUCAAAAUGGUCUAGCUGUUGUCAAGUUGAACCUAGUGGUUAUUAGUAGUUUAAUUUCAAAAUGUAAUCGUCGUUGUUCCUUCCAUAUCUGUGUGGUACUGCUGUUUCAAUCUCCUCAGUAUGACCAAGUGA